rnacentral:lncRNA from 1 species
GGGUUGUGUCUUUUCUAAAAGUUCUAUGUUGUAAGGUUGUGUCUUUUCCAAUUAAUUCUUAAGGUUGUGAACUUCAGUUAUGUUGAAAGGUUGUGUCUUUUGAAAAAGAAGUGUAAAGGGUAAAAGUUCUAUGUUGUAAGGUUAUGUCUUUUCCAAUUAAUUCCUAAAGUUGUGAACUUCAAUUAUGUUGAAAAGUUGUGUCUUUUCUAAAAAUUCUAUGUUGUAAGGUUGUGUCUUUUUAAAAAUUGUCUAAAAGUUAUAACUAUUAAUAAGUAUCUCUUAAAAAAUAAAAAGUUGUGAAUAUUAGAAGAAUGUGACUAUUCAAAUUGAAGGGUUGUGACUAUUCAAAUAGGUUUUAAUGUGAAGAGUUGUGUUUUUUAUUCUCAAGGGUUGCAAAGAAUGUCACAAAAUGUUGCAUCCUUUUGUUGUAUCUACCUGCUUAACUUUUUAAAAGUUGCAUACUUUAC